UACGGGGGGAGCAAGCGUUGUUCGGAUUUACUGGGCGUAAAGGGCGCGUAGGCGGCCACCGCAAGUCGACUGUGAAAUCUCCGGGCUUAACUCGGAAAGGUCAGCCGAUACUGCGGGGCUAGAGUGCAGAAGGGGCAACUGGAAUUCCUGGUGUAGCGGUGAAAUGCGCAGAUAUCAGGAGGAACACCGGUGGCGAAGGCGGGUCUCUGGGCCGUAACUGACGCUGAGGAGCGAAAGCAUGGGGAGCGAACAGG
rnacentral:rRNA from 1 species